rnacentral:lncRNA from 1 species
AUAUAUCUAGGCAAAUUGCCUAGAAGUGAAUCCCCUCUCCUGCUUAAGUCCUUCCCACAGAGAGCGGUUUGAUAUGUCACUGAAACCAGCAUCCAGGUGGUAUUGCUCCAUAUGCCUGAGACCCUAACAAAAGCCUAAUUACAACUCAUAUGCCUGGAGCCAGGACAUGUGCAGGAUGCCAUGAUGGUCCAAGUUAUAUUGGGAUUCAGCCAAUAGAAGAUAUUUUGCCUGUCAUCCCUAAGCUUAGGACAAUAGACUCUGCCAAGAGAGGGGAUUAUUACAUAUUGCAGAGCCCAGCACCUAGGUGGAGUGACUCUCAUCUUUUUCUUCUACCCCGUAUAUAGCCAGCUUGGUGACCUACUAUUUGAGUCUAUACCCAGGCCCAGACCACAGAUGAAAUUGUGCAAUAUGUGGAACAAACACCUAAACAAUAUAUAACACCUUCCUUGGCUCUGUCUACAAAGGGCACUUUUAUAUAUCACUGGGACCAUCAACCAGGGUCCUGCGUACUAGGUGGAUUGUGACAUCUCACUGGACCCGCAACCAUGUAGGUCAUGUGACUUUCAUGCCUUCUCACUGGCCACAGGUGAUGUUGUGCCAUAUAACUGAGACCGUAUCAAAAGCCUAAUAACAAGACGUAUGUCUGGAGCCCCGAUAUGCACAGGAUGGUGAUAUAACCCUCUUCUCUGGAAUGGGCCCCACACAAAGGAAGGAUAGUGACAUAUUGCAAGCCCAGGCACACAGGCCCAGAGCACAGUUGAAAUUGUGACAUAUGUACACCAAGCAACCAAGCAAUGUAUAACACCUCAUUUGGCAAUGGAAUCGAGGGCACUUUUACAUAUCACUGAGACCAGCGCCCAGCUGAUGUGAAAUAUUGGCCUGAACCCUGCCUACAAAAGCAUUGUGGCUUUUAUCUAGCUCCAUUACAUAAGUGAUGUGACUUCCUUCUACUGCCUUGGCCCUGCACUUAUGGUGAAUCGUGACACAAAAUUGGGUAGAGCAACCAGCCUGGGCCCUGACCAGCACAGAGAUUGAGGCAUAUUGCUGAACCCAGGACCAAGAUGAAGUCACUCUCCUGCCUUGAUCCUGCACACAGGGACCCUUGUGACAUAUAUACAGGCCAAUUGCCUAGGUGAUGUUGUGCAAUAUACCUGAGACCAGAUCAAUGGCCUAAUAAUGACUCUUUUACCUAGAGCCAGGACAUGUGCAGGAUGGUAACUCUCAUCCCUGAACCUUUCCACAGGUGUUAUUGUCACAUAUACCUUUUCCAGCUCCAAAGUGAUUUAAUAAUCCAGCCUAGUUAUAGCCCACAGAUAAUAUUUGGACAUAUACCUGAGUCAAG